rnacentral:rRNA from 1 species
GACGAACGCUGGCGGCGUGCUUAACACAUGCAAGUCGAACGGAAAGGCCCUGCUUUUGUGGGGUGCUCGAGUUGCGAACGGGUGAGUAACACGUGAGUAACCUGCCCUUGACUUUGGGAUAACUUCUGGAAACUGGGGCUAAUACCGGAUAGGAGCUCCUGCUGCAUGGUGGUGGUUGGAAAGUUUCGGCGGUUGGGGAUUGACGCGCGACUUAUCAGCUUGUUGGUGGGGUAGUGGCUUACCAAGGCUUUGACGGGUAGCCGGCCUGAGUGCGUCACCGGCCACAUUGGGACUGAGAUGAGGCCAAGAGUCUUACAGGUGCCAAUGGUGAGGAAUAUUCUGCAAUAGGACGAGGCUUGUUCCAGCAGCGUUGCGUGCGUGAUAACGGCCUUCGGGGUGUAAACCGCUUUCACCUGUCACGAAGCGUGAGUGACGGUAAUAUGUAAAGAAGCACCGGCUAACUACGUU